AACGAACGCUGGCGGCAUGCCUAACACAUGCAAGUCGAACGAGACCUUCGGGUCUAGUGGCGCACGGGUGCGUAACGCGUGGGAACCUGCCCUUAGGUUCGGAAUAACUCCCCGAAAGGGGUGCUAAUACCGGAUAAUGUCUUCGGACCAAAGAUUUAUCGCCUUUGGAUGGGCCCGCGUUGGAUUAGCUAGUUGGUAGGGUAAAAGCCUACCAAGGCGACGAUCCAUAGCUGGUCUGAGAGGAUGGUCAGCCACACUGGGACUGAGACACGGCCCAGACUCCUACGGGAGGCAGCAGUGGGGAAUAUUGGACAAUGGGCGGAAGCCUGAUCCAGCUAUGCCGCGUGAGUGAUGAAGGCCUUAGGGUUGUAAAGCUCUUUUACCCGGGAUGAUAAUGACAGUACCGGGAGAAUAAGCUCCGGCUAACUCCGUG
rnacentral:rRNA from 1 species